GAAACUGCAAAGAAAGCUGUAAAGCAAGUUUCAGAAAAGUCAGUGGACAUCAACAUUUUAUUUAUAUUUGAUAUAAAGGCACAUUUAAAAAUGAAAAAGUGGACUGAGAUUUUGUGCAUCUGCAGUGUCUUGUUAAGCAUUCCAACUGCUCUUUUGACUUUGUCUUGGCUGGUUACGCCAGACGAUAAAAAGAAUAAGUCAAAAGAGCAGUAGACCACGUACAUCAUAAAAUGCUCUUGUUUUAUGCUGGACUUGAUAUGGAGCCAACGUCCCAGAGUCUUCAUUGAUACCUUACGGACAACUGGUCCAUGACAGAAUAACACGAAGUUUUUUGAGUCAGUUUUUAUCAAUUUUUAACGAUGCAACUUUUUAAAAUAUUGUAUAAAAAAAAAUAAAAUUUCUAA